ACUUGCUCAAUUAAACCCCAAAUACCUGCAAUCAAUAAAUAAGGAAUGACAACGCGUUUAAGGGCUUUACCCAGCAAAAGAAUUGAACUGGAAACAGAUUACACUCAAGAAGCCCUUUUUAUAAUUAAACAUACACCUCUCCCCAAUGGAAGAGGCAUAUAAAGGACAAGUCUUGGAAAAUCAAGAAAAAGAAGCCAGCUGGGAAGGAAGAAGAGCUCCUGUUUAUACAGAGAAAUCUGCUAUAACAGAGAAAACAGUGACUCAAGGAGCUGGAUUUUGAAGUGAAUGGAAGAUUUGCUUGAAUAAGGACAGCAGGGUCAGACCCCACACUGUCUUGUUUUGAAAUCUGUCCAAUUGUGAAAGUGGUUUUAAAACAUUAAUUGAAACUAGGUCUCGUCCUUGUGACUGGUUGUUCACAGCUGCCUCAGAGCUCCUUAGGAGUUGAGGGUGCUCACUGCCUUGCAAGAAGUAGUGCAUCUUCCUGCACGUGGAACCCUUUCUAUUAUAUUGAUCCAGACUGCAGCACAGAUGAUCAGGAAUGGUUUAAUACACAGAAGCCCAGCAGUGGGGUUAUGAAAACAAAGUUAACAAAAAUGUAAAGAAGAAAAAUGUUAGCAUUGCUGACUCAUUUGUUUUAAAAAUAAAAGCAGAAUUGCAUACUUAAAUUCAUUUACAAAAAAAAAAUCAAUUAAGGAAACCACCUUGAUCAUCACACUCUUACUAGGUUUUUUUUGGAUACCUGCUAUUUAAAAGCAUUCAGAGAAAACACUUUAUAAAAAAGUGUUAUGCUCUUUUACAGUGCUCAGCGUGGAGGGUCUGAUCCACAACUCAUUGAACUCAGUGGAAAUAUUCCUAUUGUCUUUUGUUGGUCUUUGCUGCCACUGCAGCACAGACGCUUGCUACAGCAAUGGAAGGGAGUUUUCUGUCACUAGUAAAUCCACUCCAUCGAGAGGUGGUAGCAAGGUUAUGGGAAGAAUUUUUCUAUCGACCUAGUGGUGUCUACACCAGGGAUUAAGUUGGCUUAACUAGAUCUCUCAGGGGUGAGAAUUUUUCACACCCUGAGUGAUAUAACUGGGUUGACCUAAGUUUUAUGUGUAGACCAGGCCUUAGACAUUAGGGCAGUGAUUCUUAAUUACCCCAUUCCCAGUGCUUGGGGCAGGAAUAGAGGGAGCUCUGUAUUUGUGCUUCUCCUACUUUAGGCUCUUCUUAGGUUCAUGAGGUCUAUGGUAUACAUUAGAACUCUCUCAGCACUGCACUAAUGUAUGUUAUGCUUCUCAGGGCCACCUGUGAGGCAGAGAACAGCCAUAGAUCAAUGCAGCUUGAUUGUGUUCAAUGUGAAGUUCUGCUUAAAAACUGAUAGCACAAUAUGGCCCCUGGGUGAGCGUGGACGGAUGUGCAAAUACAUUUACUGUAAUAGUAUGAAUGCAUUUUUGGUCCUGAUCUAAAGGCCAAAAAAAUCAACUGGAAUCUAUAUGGGUAAGGCCAUAUAUGCCAUUUGGAGUUUUUUUUGUGAUUUAUUAUUGUAAUUACAAAGAAGGAACCAAAAGAAGUUGUUACAGCUCAAUGCCAUGGUUUUCAGAUUUAGAAAUACACCUCUGUUCCCCACUUGGAGUAUUUUUAGCUCACCUUAGAAGAAAAUCUCAAACUAAGCAAGUCUAAUUUUCACAGGAAGUAAGUGAUUCAUUUAAUAAGAUCUGACUGUUACUUAAAUUGUUUCAUGAAAUAUCUAUAUAAUUGUCCUGGUGUCAUUUUACUUGGCACCACAUAUGGGAAUAAUUGUGAACGGCAUUGUUAUCCUGUACAAGGGUUUUUUAAGUUAUUACUGCAUAUGAGACCUGAUUUUACUUGUAGUCUCACGAGCAGUCAGUAGGUACCUUAAAUUAUUUGGUUUCA